AGUAUAAUAAAAUCUAAAUUAUCCACGGCCUAUAUAAAAUACUCAACCGUAUGUCAUUUAUCCUCCCAUCAUAAUUCAAUUAUUCUUCAAUUAAACUCCGUCAUCUUAACUGGUGCAACAAAGAAGUAUAGCAAAAAGUUAGUUUUUCGAAGCAUACAUAACCUCUAAAGUUAUUUAUUAUAGAUUAUUCUUCAAUUAAACUCCGUCAUCUUAACUGGUGCAACAA
rnacentral:lncRNA from 1 species